rnacentral:rRNA from 1 species
CCUACGGGUGGCAGCAGUGAGGAAUAUUGGUCAAUGGGCGCGAGCCUGAACCAGCCAAGUCGCGUGAGGGAAGACGGUCCUAUGGAUUGUAAACCUCUUUUGUCGGGGAGCAAAAGACGCCACGCGUGGCGUUCCGAGAGUACCCGAAGAAAAAGCAUCGGCUAACUCCGUGCCAGCAGCCGCGGUAAUAAGGAGGAUGCGAGCGUUAUCCGGAUUUAUUGGGUUUAAAGGGUGCGCUGGCGGAAGAUCAAGUCAGCGGUAAAAUUGAGGGGCUCAACCUCGUCGAGCCGUUGAAACUGGUUUGCUUGAGUGAGUGAGAAGUAUGCGGAAUGCGUGGUGUAGCGGUGAAAUGCAUAGAUAUCACGCAGAACUCCGAUUGCGAAGGCAGCAUACCGGCGCUCAACUGACGCUCAUGCACGAAAGUGUGGGUAUCGAACAGGAUUAGAUACCCCAGUAGUC